AGGAAAUGAUCCGGCUGGCUGACAAGGAUGGAUCAGGGGCCCUGGAUUUUCCUGAAUUUUUAAACAUGAUGAAGGAGAGAAUCAAGGAACAGAACGAGGAUGAUGACAUCAAAAAUGCUUUCAAACUGUUUGACACGGAUGGAAAUGAAUA